CACACUUUGUUAAAAAAGAAGCCCGUUAUUUUCUAGAAGGGCUUCUGAAAUGAACUGUUAGUUGGUCAUUGAUUAUUUAGAGAGACAAGAGAGUGAGCAAGGAAAAAAAUGAUGUGGGAAACAGCUGAUAAGAGCCAUGAUGAGUAAGGAUGAUCUUCUCCAAGAUGUAAACAAAAAUGAUUGCAUUAAAAGGGCUCACCGCUUUCCAGGGCACUGCUAAUGCACAUCCCUGUGCACUAAUCCACAGUCACCAGGCCUUUUGCCUUGGAAGCAGGAACAUUUAGUCCUCUGGCGGGGCUGCCCUUAGGGAAUAAACAAACACAAUGUGGCAUGGGAUUUAUCGCCCAUUAAAUGGACACUGCUGUGGGUUUUUUUUUUUUUUUUUCUUUCUUUCUUUUUGAGAGAGAGAGUGAGAGAGGGGCAGAGAGAGGGAGAGAGAAAAUCCCAAACAGACUCUGCACUGUCAGCGCAGGGCCCGAAGUGGGGCUGAUCCCAGGAACUCUGAAGUCAGGAGCUGGAUGCUUAAUGGACUGAGCCAUCCAAGUGACACUGGAGUUUUGAGGCAGGCCCUUCAAGGAAAGGAGGCCAACCUGAGGGGUUACACAGAUCUGGGCUGACGGCAAUUGCUCAAUUGCUCAUCUUAUAAAUUGUGCAACUUAGAGCAAACGACUUAGCAUUUCUGAUUCUUCGUUGCCCUACCUAGAGUUUUCCUUGCCAUAUUAAGCUGUCAUGAAGAGUGGAGCCUUCAGAAACGGACUGCCUAGGUUUAGAUCUCAUUUCUACUGUUUUCCUGCUGUGUGACUUUGGGCAAUUUACUUAAUCUCCCUGUGCCCCAGUUUUCUCAGCUGCGAAGUGAGGAACAGAAUAGAAACCACCUCACCAUCAUUGCAAGGAUUAAGUGCAAUAACAUCUGUAAAAUGCUUACGGCAACGUCUGGCACGUCUUGAGUGCUAGUAAAGUGCGUGCUAUUGUGGCCAGCAGCAAACUCAUCUCCUUUAGUGUUCUGUCAAUUAAUUUACAUUCCUUGACCUUUGACAUUGACUUAAGCCAAUAAAAAAAAAAGGAAAGCAAGAGAAAAGAAAAAAAAAAAGAAAUUAAAAAGUGUCAUUUGGAAUUUGGUAGAAGGAAUAUAAAUUAUUCUCAUCCCAAUAUAAAUUAUUUGCGUACUCUCUUACCAAAACCACUUCGGAUUAAGUAAACCACACUUCCUCCCCGUUGUGUGAAGCAUCAGGAUUCAGUACAAUGGUGCUCUGAGAAUGAAAAUAUCACUCUACUCACAUACACCGAAGGCUUAGUGACAGUACUAAAUGAAGGAAACAUCAGGCUGUAUCAUACAGGAUGCUAUGCGGUAUAAACUACCUAGGAGACAUUGCAUUUACGCAGUUUCAACCACUGUGUAACCAUUUUAUAACAUAAUGUCAUGAUUAUGUCCAAACUUCUCAACAUGUUCCAGCAAAGUAAAGGGGUUCUAAGAGAAGCAGGAUCAUUAUCCAGCAACGACCCAUCACGACCAAUCAAGCCGCAGCUAACUGAACCCGGAAAAACUGCUGACUUACAAGGUGCUGGGCCCCAUGAGUCUGCAAAGCACCCAGAAGACUGAAAACCACGCUUCAUGUGCCAGAAAAGACAUGUUGCAACUCAUCUGGGAUGAAGGAAAAACCAUUCUUUUUCUUUAAGAGUUCAUUAGAUUAAAACAACUAUGCAAAAACAAACAGAAGAAAUAUAUAAUGAUGUCAUAUUGAAUGUCACAGACUGAAACCACCCAGGUCAUGGAGAACUAAGGAUUUGAAAUAAUGUAUGGACCACGGAGAGGAAAAAGGAACAAGGCGAGCAAUGCAUGGGGAAAGAAGAUAGAACAUAGAGAGGAGUGAAUUAAUGUGUGUGCUUAAUUCACUUAGGGAAGAGCGCCGACUCACUGUGAGCCCAGGAUUGAGGAGACUUGCAUACAUUUCUACUAUACUGCCUGGAUUGUGAUACUAUGGAUAUAGCAUUGAUGACGGUCUUUGGUGCUAAAUGAUGCUUUGACCAAGUAGAUGUUCAGAUAAGUUCUGCCAGGACACACAAAUAGCACUUUCAUCGGCCGCUGCUCCAAGGGAACUGCUUCUGUUAUGUGUACUUAGCUAGUGUUUUCCAGAAAGACUGAAGCUGUUUAGCCUCAGAGCUUUAUAGAUUAUUCUUUUUUUGGAAAAUACUGAGAGUCGCCACUAUCUGCUUUGAAUGUUUCGUAUUUUAAUGCAUAAGAAAUAUGUGUGCAAUGGGUGAGUAGAUGAUACUUUUUUAAAAUUGCAAAUUGUAAAAUAUAACCGAACUCUUAAACACCAUACAAUCAGAAUCACGAAAGCAAGCUACUCAGAAAUGGAGUCUCAAUGCCGAGUACAGAUCUUUUGUCAGAACUAAGAAACUACAAAUCAAAAUGUGGCCGUCUUCAGCCUCUUGUAAGGUCUUUUGAUAUGACACCAUGAGGUCAAGACAUAGAACUCUGAGGGUGUGUGUGUUUUCAUGUUUAUAUACUUUGAGUUUGCUUUGUGCCCACUAAUUUAUUAAGUACCUUCCUCCUUUCAGUUAAUCCAGUACUAAGGAGGCACUACAUUUUUGUAUAAAAUGGGUUUUAAGCUUUGCCCAAAGGGGGAAAUACAUCAUUAUUUUUCAAGGAUUUUUCUUUUUGGAAAGCAUCACGGUGUGUGUUAACAUACAUAAGAGAUUUAAUCUCAGUAAAUGUGAAAGCUAGCUUUCUUAAAUGAUUUUCUUUCCCCAAGUUGACCUAACAGGUAUAGAAGAGAGUCUGCACGUAUUUCAAUUUACAUGCAGGAAAAUGACAAUGAGCUUACAAGAAAGCAUUAUUUAUAGUGUCAGUUCCUGCCUUGCUAAAAUUUGGUGAUUCAGUUAUUCAAACCAUGUAACAGAAUAGAUUUAGUGUAAAUACAAGUUUUAAAAAGAGAUUUUCUUUGCUGAUAAGACCAGAAGCUGAAACACAGACAGAAUUGAAGUCUGUGUAGUAAAUUCAGAGUUUCUCUGUUACUAACAAGAGAGACAAUUUUCUGAAAUGCUCGUUUACAGUGAUCAUUCAUCUGGAUUUCUUUAACAUUUAGAAUGGACCAGGGGAAGCUCAAACCUGAAUGGAGGAGAAGAAAUAUUUGGAUUUGAUCCUAGUUAGUACCUUAAAAUAUCUAAGUAAGCACCUAUAAGAUGGGCAGUAAUGUAACUUGGAUUUUGUUUUAGUA